GGGACCCAGGAACCAGGAGCAGAACUUUUGCUGGAGAAGCAAGAUCUGGGAGAUCAACUCCCGAUGCAUGGAGGCUCUGCCUCUCUGCGACUUUCUCAUUCAUUAUCUCUUCAUGUUGUGGUGUCAAAUACAGGCAGAUUCCCAGAUCAAAGUCACUUAGUGAAUACACUGAGCCCUUUGUAUGGUGCUAGGGUUUCUCAGCCUCAGCACGGAAGACGCUUUGAACUGGACAGCUCUUGCUGUGGAGGCUGCCCUGUGUGUUGCAGGAUGUUUGGUGCCAUCUAUGACCUCUCUAUGGUAGAUACCAGUCAUGCCUCCACUCCAUCCUGCUUCAUGCCCAUUUCUGACAAUCAAAAUAUCUCUGGAUGUUGCCCAGUGCCUCCUGGGAGGCUAAGAAUCACCCUUCACCGAAAACCACUUUUCUGGAUUUCACCACACGUGGGGGAAAAAUAGAUGAAACACUGGAGUGGAAGUGAGAAGAAAACAUCCUCAUCACCAUCACCAACACCGCCAUCUUGAUCUUCACCACCAUUAUCAUUUCGAUCAUCACCAUGAUCAUCACCAUGAUCAUCAUCACCAUCAUCAUCACCCGUUCUCACCACCACCAAAGUUAAGACGUCACUGGUCUCUGCUUCUGUCACUGCAGAAGGCUCAAAAGUCCCCACAUCUGGGAUGUCAGGUGAAAGAACCAGCAUGAUGUACUUCACCAUCACCUUCUAAAACACCAUCCUCUUCAGGCACCUGCUGCAGGAACCCUCGGACUCAUCCACACCUGCUGAGGUUCCCACUUGCUGAACCCUAGUCACAGAGGAGCUCAGGAACCUGUGGUUGGCCACUCACCUCUGCAGUGAGGGCCCAUGAGACGAGCCUGCAGUGGAUGCUGAGCAAGUCAGUCCAGUGUCCAUCCCUCUCCCAAGCCUCAGACUUGUCAGUAGCAAUUAAGCCUGGGAAAAUUGCCUUUGGCUAAGCACAAAGGCCCACAAAGUCUGUUAAUGAACAAUAGAAAGCUUUACAAUGAUAAUUUACUCUUCUACAAAAAUAAUUGUAGUUCACUAAGAUUGCAAUUCAUAGACAAAUAUGCAGGCCUAACCUGGACAACUUCUACCAGGUUCAUUUCAUGGGUAGUUGUUGAGUACAAAAUGGGCCCAUAGACUAUAAAAAAAAGGUUCUGCUGGACAAGGUGGCCCAUGCCUGUAAUUUCAGUUAUUCAGAAGGCUGAGGCAGGAGGGUGGCAGAUUUGAAGUCAGCCUGAGCUAUGUAGUGAGACCGUUUCAACAUGAAAUUUAAAAAGGGCUUGGGGUGUAGCUCAGUGGUACAACCCUUGCCUAGCGAUUCCCA
rnacentral:lncRNA from 1 species